rnacentral:rRNA from 1 species
AUGACGAUCUCUUCCGCAUCUCGGACAUCAUCAUGGGCAUCUACUGCCUCUCUCUUACAGUUACCACUGUCCGGGAGGAGAGCUCCUUUCGCCUCACCUCCGUGUAUGGCCCAACUGAGAGCAAUCAAAAAGAGAUUUUUUUUCGAGGAGCUUGUGGCUCACAAGCCGGGGCAUGGAGGAAAGUGGCUUGUAAAUGGGGAUUUCAAUCAAAUUUACCGUGCAAGAGACAAGAACAAGAGGAACGUCAACCGCAAUCGUAUCAACCGGUUCCGCGCCACGCUUCAUGGUUGUGAUCUACGCGAGAUUCACCUUCAAAAUCGUCGUUUCACUUGGAGUAAUGAGCGGCAAAAUCCCACCAUGAGCAAACUUGACAGUGUGUUUUGCAACGCCGAAUGGGACAUUGAAUUCCAAAAUCACAUCUUGCAUGCCUUAUCUUCGUCCCUGUCUGACCAUUGCCCCAUGCUGUUGGCACCUAUAAUUGGCCCCAAAAAGCCUAGAAGCUUCAAGUUCGAGAACUUUUGGAUCAAGAUGCCGGGUUUUCAAGAGACUGUCUCUGAUGCUUGGGCUGCUUCGACCCCCCACUACGAGCCUUGUCAAAUCCUCUUCCAUAAGCUUCGGACAACCGCUGUCCGGUUGAGAAAAUGGAGUCAAUCCUUCUCCUCAAAUGCAAGGCUGCACCUUCACAUGGCACUUCAAAUUAUUCUCAGAUUGGACAUCGCUCAGGAGUCGCGCUCCCUCUCGCCGGAGGAGUUUGACCUUCGUAAGCGGCUUAAGAGGCGCGUCAUCAGUUUGGCGGUUCUUGAGAGGGCUAGGAAAAGGCAGUGUGCCCACAUCCGUAACUUGAAGGAGGGGGACGCCAACACCAAAUUUUUUCACUUGAAGAUUAAUGGGAGAAGGCGCAAGAAUUUCAUACACAAGUUGAGCAACGGGGCUGGUUGGGUUACGAAGCAUGAGGAUAAGGAGAAUAUUAUGUACCAGCACUUCACCACCGCUUUGAGCAAAGGGCCACGCAGAACCACAGACUUCAAUUGGCAACUCCUCCACUUUACAGAUUGUGAUCUUUCCAGUCUUGGGGAUGAGAUGACGGACGAGGAGGUGAUUGCAGCCAUCAAGGCUAUGCCUAGCGACAAGGCUCCCGGGCCUGACGGCUUUACUGGGGCAUUCUUCAAGAGCUGCUGGCCAAUUAUAAAGGACGAUCUUAUGAAGGUCAUCUCCGCCUUCUCGAGUUUGCAUGCGGACAACUUUCACUGGCUCAACUCCGCAAAUGUGGUUCUCUUGCCAAAGAAGGAGGGGGCUGAGGCGAUCACGGACUUUAGGCCUAUCAGUUUGAUCCAUGCCGUCGCCAAGAUUGUGGCCAAGGUGAUGGCGUUGAGGCUCACCCCUUUUAUGGAUAUCCUCGUAUCCCGUGCUCAGAGUGCAUUCAUCAAAUCUCAGUGCAUCCACGACAACUUCAUGUAUGUUCGCAACUAUGCUCGCCGACUCCAACGAACAAACACGCCAUCACUCUUGCUCAAGUUGGACAUCAAGAAGGCUUUUGAUUCAGUUAGAUGGGAAUAUCUUCUCGACCUGUUGCAGAGGAGAGGUUUUCCUUCGAGGUUUCGUGAGUGGAUCACGGCCCUUCUUCGGACGUCUACAUCGAGGGUUCUUCUCAACGGUGUUCCUGGCAAUCCUAUCCAGCAUGGGCAGGGCCUCCGGCAGGGGGACCCACUGUCUCCCCUUCUGUUUGUCCUUGCUAUUGACCCCCUUCAGCAAAUCUUGGACGUGGCAACAGAGAAUGGAGACCUACACAGAUUACGUGGACGUGGUGCCCGCCUUCGCACCUCCCUAUACGCGGACGACGAUGCCAUAUUCUUGGAGCCUAUCAAGGAGGAUGUGGAUAUGCUUGCCACCAUACUUCAAAGCUUUGGAAACGUCACCGGCCUAGUUACGAACAUUAACAAGAGUUUGGUGGCCCCUAUUAGAUGCUCCAAUGUCGACCUUGACAUGAUUUUGGGUGCCUUCCCAGCGGUCAGAGCUCAGUUCCCCUUGCGUUACCUCGGCCUUCCGCUAUCCAUUCAUCGUUUGCGGGUUGUGGACUUCCAGCAUUUGCUUGAUAAGAUUGCUGGAAAGAUCAUGAUUGGCCAG